CCUGCGGAAGGAUCAUUACCGAGUGUAGGGUUCCUAGCGAGCCCAACCUCCCACCCGUGUUUACUGUACCUUAGUUGCUUCGGCGGGCCCGCCAUUCAUGGCCGCCGGGGGCUCUCAGCCCCGGGCCCGCGCCCGCCGGAGACACCACGAACUCUGUCUGAUCUAGUGAAGUCUGAGUUGAUUGUAUCGCAAUCAGUUAAAACUUUCAACAAUGGAUCUCUUGGUUCCGGCAUCGAUGAAGAACGCAGCGAAAUGCGAUAACUAGUGUGAAUUGCAGAAUUCCGUGAAUCAUCGAGUCUUUGAACGCACAUUGCGCCCCCUGGUAUUCCGGGGGGCAUGCCUGUCCGAGCGUCAUUGCUGCCCAUCAAGCACGGCUUGUGUGUUGGGUCGUCGUCCCCUCUCCGGGGGGGACGGGCCCCAAAGGCAGCGGCGGCACCGCGUCCGAUCCUCGAGCGUAUGGGGCUUUGUCACCCGCUCUGUAGGCCCGGCCGGCGCUUGCCGAACGCAAAUCAAUCUUUUUCCAGGUUGACCUCGGAUCAGGUAGGGAUACCCGCUGAACUUAAGCAUAUCAAUAA
rnacentral:rRNA from 1 species